UUCUGAAUAGGAGCUUAGCAUCUCUUUCACAUUCAGCCUUAGAACAGAUCUUUGGUUUAUCUCCAUAAAAGAUAAAAACUAUCUCUAAAAUCCAUAUACUUUGGACAUGUCUCUAAGUUUUACAAACACCAGAUUGAUAAUAAAUGCACUCUAAUUUACUUGGGUAGAUUUGGAGCUCAACAAAAGUAUGAGGCAAUAACAGGUCCAUGAUGCCCUUAGAUGUUCUGGGCUACACGUGCGCUACACUGAUGUAGUCAAUGAGUUUUUCUCUCUGGUUUGAGAGGAUUGGGAAAUCUUCUCAAAUUGCAUCGUGAUGGGGAUAGACCAUUGCAAUUAUUGGUCUUCACUGAGGAAUUCCUAGUAAGCGCGUGUCAUCAGCUCGUGUUGACUACGUCCCUGCCCUUUGUACACACCGCUCGUCGCUCCUACCAAUUGAAUGAUCCGGUGAAGUGUUAGGAUCGCAUCAACGAGGGUGGUUCGCCGCCGAUGAUGUCGUGAGAAGUUCACUGAACCUUAUCAUUUAUAGGAAGGAGAAGUCAUAACAAGUUUACCAUAGGUGAACCUGCGGUAGGAUCAUUG
rnacentral:ncRNA from 1 species